AGUGAACGCUGGCGGUAGGCCUAACACAUGCAAGUCGAACGGCAGCACAGGAGAGCUUGCUCUCUGGGUGGCGAGUGGCGGACGGGUGAGGAAUACAUCGGAAUCUACUCUGUCGUGGGGGAUAACGUAGGGAAACUUACGCUAAUACCGCAUACGACCUACGGGUGAAAGCAGGGGACCUUCGGCCCUUGCGCGAUUGAAUGAGCCGAUGUCGGAUUAGCUAGUUGGCGGGGUAAAGGCCCACCAAGGCGACGAACCGUAGCUGGUCUGAGAGGAUGAUCAGCCACACUGGAACUGAGACACGGUCCAGACUCCUACGGGAGGCAGCAGUGGGGAAUAUAGGACAAUGGGCGCAAGCCUGAUCCAGCCAUACCGCGUGGGUGAAGAAGGCCUUCGGGUUGUAAAGCCCUUUUGUUGGGAAAGAAAUCCAGCUGGCUAAUACCCGGUUGGGAUGACGGUACCCAAAGAAUAAGCACCGGCUAACUUCGUGCCAGCCGCCGCGGUAA
rnacentral:rRNA from 1 species